GAUGAACGCUGGCGGCGUGCCUAAUACAUGCAAGUCGAGCGAACAGACGAGGAGCUUGCUCCUCUGACGUUAGCGGCGGACGGGUGAGUAACACGUGGAUAACCUACCUAUAAGACUGGGAUAACUUCGGGAAACCGGAGCUAAUACCGGAUAAUAUAUUGAACCGCAUGGUUCAAUAGUGAAAGACGGUUUUGCUGUCACUUAUAGAUGGAUCCGCGCCGCAUUAGCUAGUCGGUAAGGUAACGGCUUACCAAGGCAACGAUGCGUAGCCGACCUGAGAGGGUGAUCGGCCACACUGGAACUGGGACACGGUCCAGACUCCUACGGGAGGCAGCAGUAGGGAAUCUUCCGCAAUGGGCGAAAGCUUGACGGAGCAACGCCGCGUGAGUGAUGAAGGUCUUCGGAUCGUAAAACUCUGUUAUUAGGGAAGAACAAAUGUGUAAGUAACUAUGCACGUCUUGACGGUACCUAAUCAGAAAGCCACGGCUAACUACGUG
rnacentral:rRNA from 1 species